rnacentral:rRNA from 1 species
CGGGGGGGGGGGCAAGCGUUGUUCGGAAUUACUGGGCGUAAAGGGCGCGUAGGCGGUCCCGCAAGUCCUCCGUGAAUACCCACAGCUCAACUGUGGAACUGCGAGGGAAACUGCAGGACUUGAGUCCGGGAGAGGAGAGUGGAAUUCCCAGUGUAGCGGUGAAAUGCGUAGAUAUUGGGAGGAACACCGGUGGCGAAGGCGGCUCUCUGGACCGGUACUGACGCUGAGGCGCGAAAGCUAGGGGAGCAAACGGGAUUAGAUACCCCGGUAGUCCUAGCCUUAAACGAUGAGCACUUGGUGUGGCGGGUAUCGACCCCUGCCGUGCCGAAGCUAACGCAUUAAGUGCUCCGCCUGGGGAGUACGGUCGCAAAGGCUG